UAGAGUUUGAUCCUGGCUCAGGAUGAACGCUGGCGGUAUGCUUAACACAUGCAAGUCGAACGCAAGUAGCAAUACUUGAGUGGCGGACGGGUGAGUAACGCGUGAGAAUCUAGCUUCAGGUCGGGGACAACAGUGGGAAACCGCUGCUAAUACCGGAUGUGCCGAAAGGUGAAAGAUUUAUUGCCUGAAGAUGAGCUCGCGUCUGAUUAGCUAGUUGGUGGGGUAAGAGCCUACCAAGGCGACGAUCAGUAGCUGGUCUGAGAGGACGAUCAGCCACACUGGGACUGAGACACGGCCCAGACUCCUACGGGAGGCAGCAGUGGGGAAUUUUCCGCAAUGGGCGAAAGCCUGACGGAGCAAUACCGCGUGAGGGAGGAAGGCUCUUGGGUUGUAAACCUCUUUUCUCAGGGAAGAAAACUGACGGUACCUGAGGAAUAAGCAUCGGCUAACUCCGUGCCAGCAGCCGCGGCAAUACGGAGGAUGCAAGCGUUAUCCGGAAUUAUUGGGCGUAAAGCGUCCGUAGGUGGCCGUUCAAGUCUGCUGUUAAAGGCUGGGGCUCAACCCCAGACAGGCAGUGGAAACUGAACAGCUAGAGUGUGGUAGGGGUAGAGGGAAUUCCCGGUGUAGCGGUGAAAUGCGUAGAGAUCGGGAAGAACACCGGUGGCGAAAGCGCUCUGCUGGACCACAACUGACACUGAGGGACGAAAGCUAGGGGAGCGAAUGGGAUUAGAUACCCCAGUAGUCCUAGCCGUAAACGAUGGAUACUAGGUGUUGUGAGUAUCGACCCUCACAGUGCCGCAGCUAACGCGCUAAGUAUCCCGCCUGGGGAGUACGCACGCAAGUGUGAAACUCAAAGGAAUUGACGGGGGCCCGCACAAGCGGUGGAGUAU
rnacentral:rRNA from 1 species